rnacentral:lncRNA from 10 species
CCAGUCUUUAAUUUGAAUUUAUAAAUUACAAAAAGCUACUUUGAUCAACUGAAUGUAGGUAUCCAAGCUCAAAUUCUUUUAAACCUACAAAAUAGGUAAAAUUAUUAUACAAUUAAAGUUAUUAAUAAAACUGACUUAAGAGAGCAGAAUGUGACCGAACACUUACACAUUCUCAGCAGUUCUGUUAUUCUUGUUUGGUCUCACCUAAAGUUUUUAUCGUAUUUUAGAAUCGAACCUUUUGGAUCUCUGUCAGAAAUGAAUGUUUAUUUCUUUCAAGUUUUAUCAAGUAUUAAUACGUUUUAUUUAUAUUCUUUUAAAUGUUUUAUUCAGUAGUUCUGUGAACUUCAGACUUUGUUGUUCAGCCUAAUCGUAUGCUUCUGUAACUUCUACACAUUUUAUAAGAACUCAUUCAAAGUUGUAGUCCUACCAUAGUGUUUCAGGGUUCCUUGUUGUGUACACUUUUACUAUAAUGGCAAAAUGUUUCAAAAUCAUUCAGCUUUUUAAAGAAACUUAUUAUGCAAAAGACACUCUUGAAAUGCUGUGCAUUUGAGCUGAAGUGAAAGAAUUUGUUUCAUGUUGUACUUUGCAUUAUUUUAAGUUUUCACAUCUUUAAU